GACGUAGGGCGCGAGCGUUGUCCGGAAUUAUUGGGCGUAAAGAGCUCGUAGGCGGUCUGUCGCGUCUGCUGUGAAAUCUCAGGGCUUAACCCUGAGCUUGCAGUGGGUACGGGCAGACUAGAGUGCGGUAGGGGAGACUGGAAUUCCUGGUGUAGCGGUGAAAUGCGCAGAUAUCAGGAGGAACACCGGUGGCGAAGGCGGGUCUCUGGGCCGUAACUGACGCUGGAGGAGCGGAAAGCAUGGGGAGCGAACAGG
rnacentral:rRNA from 1 species